rnacentral:rRNA from 1 species
UACGGAAGAUGCGAGCGUUAUCCGGAUUUAUUGGGUUUAAAGGGUGCGUAGGCGGGUGAUUAAGUCAGCGGUGAAAUGCGUCAGCUUAACUGGCGAACUGCCAUUGAAACUGGUUACCUUGAGUGUAGCGGAAGUAUGCGGAAUGCGUGGUGUAGCGGUGAAAUGCAUAGAUAUCACGCAGAACUCCGAUUGCGAAGGCAGCAUACCAUACUAUAACUGACGCUGAAGCACGAAAGCGUGGGUAUCGAACAGG